AUUGAACGCUGGCGGCAGGCCUAACACAUGCAAGUCGAACGGUAACAGGAAGAAGCUUGCUUCUUUGCUGACGAGUGGCGGACGGGUGAGUAAUGUCUGGGAAACUGCCUGAUGGAGGGGGAUAACUACUGGAAACGGUAGCUAAUACCGCAUAACGUCGCAAGACCAAAAAGGGGGACCUUCGGGCCUCUUGCCAUCGGAUGUGCCCAGAUGGGAUUAGCUAGUAGGUGGGGUAACGGCUCACCUAGGCGACGAUCCCUAGCUGGUCUGAGAGGAUGACCAGCCACACUGGAACUGAGACACGGUCCAGACUCCUACGGGAGGCAGCAGUGGGGAAUAUUGCACAAAGGGCGCAAGCCUGAUGAAGCCAUGCCGCGUGUAUGAAGAAGGCCUUCGGGUUGUAAAGUACUUUCAGCGGGGAGGAAGGGAGUAAAGUUAAUACCUUUGCUCAUUGACGUUACCCGCAGAAGAAGCACCGGCUAACUCCGUG
rnacentral:rRNA from 1 species